UGGAGGCAACUGUAUAAGUCUAGUUUUGGAUAAUAUUCCAAGUUUCAUUCCAUGAUCAAAAGUAAGGUGGACUGUAGUUUAUCGAUUCGUAUUUAGUAUUAAUAAUCCUCAUAUGGAAGGAAGCAUGUUGUAGGACGAAGAAACCCUAUGAUAAAAUUAACUAUUCAGUCAAGACUUCAACGGUGUAUCCAUUAAACCAUAGUUAAUAAGGUCAAGUCAGAAUGAAGCGAAAACCCAACAGUUAUGCUGUGUGUUGGUUCAAAAAAGAAUUUUAAAAAGUGGGUGUAGCUGAAUUGCCUAUUUAUAACGCCGUGUGUUUGUAGUUAAGUUAUUGAAGUGUACCCGUCCAAUGAAAUAAUAUAUUACAUUAGUUAGGAUGAAAUGAUUGAAAUUUGGUCCGUUACUUCAACAAGGCGUGCAAAAUAUCACUACUACCGAUUUUCAAGUGUCUGUCAUCACUAUACGCAUUUCGUGUAGCCAAAUUGAAAGUUUGUUUUUAAAAACUUAUGAAAACGUCAGAUGGUCGAAUCUACGUUUAAGAAAACUGAUUGAAUAGUAUUCUAUGCAUAAAAGUAUAAAAGUUCUGAGAAGAGUAGCGAUGAAUGUAUAUGGUUUUAUAAUGAUGUGUGAAAAAUACCCUAGAUAUUCAACUUCGAGUAUACCCUUUAAGUAAGAAGUGCAAAAUAUCUGAAGGAUUUGAAAAUAUGGCCUUACAGUAUGUUUGUUAAAAUAUCGAAAAUCAGAUUUUGGAAAACUGCAUUGUUGAAGCGAAUAAAAAGGGUUUAGUAGUUUAGUGAAAGGCGUUGAAAUGUGUGGUCAAAUGGAACGAACGAUUUACUACAACAUCGAAGUUUGUGAAAGUAUAGUUUCAAAAUUAUUGGAUGUGUGACUUUUGGUAUUAUUGACUGUUUUCACAAAGUUUCAGAGUUUAAAGAACUUUAAGAAAUUUUU